GCUGGCGGCAUGCCUUACACAUGCAAGUCGAACGGCAGCACGGGGCAACCUGGUGGCGAGUGGCGAACGGGUGAGUAAUGCAUCGGAACGUGCCAUUGAGUGGGGGAUAACGUAGCGAAAGUUGCGCUAAUCCGCAUAUUCUGUGAGCAGGAAAGCAGGGGAUCGCAAGACCUUGCGCUGAUUGAGCGGCCGAUGUCAGAUUAGCUAGUUGGUGAGGUAAAGGCUCACCAAGGCGACGAUCUGUAGCGGGUCUGAGAGGAUGAUCCGCCACACUGGAACUGAGACACGGUCCAGACUCCUACGGGAGGCAGCAGUGGGGAAUUUUGGACAAUGGGGGCAACCCUGAUCCAGCCAUGCCGCGUGAGU
rnacentral:rRNA from 1 species